CGGCGUGACGUCAAUACGCUGCUGCGAGUGGCUCCUGGAAGAAGAUGAAGGGUCGCCCCUUUCCAGAAGCACCGCCCACUGACAGCGUGUUCCAAUCAGAGGCGGAGAGGAACCAAGGACGCGAGACAGGUUUCACCAUGUUAACCAGGCUAGUCUCAAACUCUUGACCUCAGAUGAUCUACCCACCUCAGCCUCCCAAAAUGCUGGGAUUAUAGGCAUGAGUCACCACACCCACCCCCAAGUUCUGAAAUUUUUUUAAAGAGCAAAAUUCUGCUGGGGGAGACUGCUGAGCCAGAGAGAUGGCAGAUUUCCAGGAUCAUUUAGACAUGGUACACCAAGCAUAGAGGAAAGAGAUGUAGAAAGCCAGUACCCUGCUACAAGGUGCGAUCCAAUAGCCGAUGGCCAGGAAUGGAAGGCCCAGGGCCACAACCAGCACAACGAGACACUUGAUUGCUAUCGUCUGCUCCCUUAGGCCUGAGAGGUUUUCAUACCAGAUCGUCAAGAGCUGCUGCUGGCAGUUAGGAUGAGCCACAAACUGUUGGGAGAGAGAGAGUUUGAGAAGGGGAGAGAAAGGAAGAGGCCAGAGAGCUCACUCUCUUUCUGCCAUGUGAGGAUACAAUGAGAAGUCAGCAGUCUGCAACCCCAAGAAGAGCCCUCACCAGAUCUUCACCAUGCUGAUUUUGGAUUUCCAGCCUCCAAAACUAUAAUUAUACACCAGCUCAUGGACUCGUUGAUUCUGUUUCAUCCACACAAACAAUUUUCCUCCAAUGAGUUAAAAUCCUAAUCCAAGUUCACAAGGAGCAUUUCAAAAAAGAAAGUGAAGCCAGUACAGUAAUAGUAAGUGAAGGCAAAAAAGCUAAUCCCUUUAGGAGAUAAGUUUCGCUCUUUUCAAUGCCUUCAAAAUAAGGCAAUGACCUUCAUACCUUAAAACUGUUUUACCUCCUGAAAAAUCUCUUUAUGUUACUACACCAGUUAUGCCGAGCUGGAUAAAAUUUGUAUGCUGUUUCCUAACUUCAGUGCACCAACAAAUUGAAGUCAUCACAAAACUAAUACCCUUAUUUGGAGUUUUCUGAUUUAAAAAGAGAAUGUUUGACACAGAAAAUCUUAAUCUUUCAAUUGAGCAAAAAGCAUGUAGAACAAAUCCUUUUUCUUGGCAAAUGACUAAUUAUAAACUGAACCACUGAUCAGGACAGAUUAGGGAAAACAAUACACCAUUUUUCAUCAAAUCAGCCUUCACAAGAACUGUUUUCAUGGGAAUAUGGUAUGUGUAAAAACAUGGUAGGAACUCUGGUAGGAACUCCGAAUUUGUUUGAAAUGACACUAUGAGAGCCAUAAUUCAUACAAUUUAAAGGAAAAUAUUCUUGUAAAUAAAAACUAGGCAAUUCGACUUCUUUUUAAAACUCACUGAAUUGUGGGCCAGGCGCGGUGGCUCAAGCCUGUAAUCCCAGCACUUUGGGAGGCAGAGGCGGGUGGAUCACGAGGUCAAGAGAUCGAGACCAUCCUGGUCAACAUGGUGAAACCCUGUCUCUACUAAAAAUACAAAAAAUUAGCUGGGCAUGGUGGCGCGUGCCUGUAAUCCCAGCUACUCAGGAGGCUGAGGCAGGAGAAUUGCCUGAACCCAGAAGGCAGAGGUUGCAGUGAGCCAAGGUCACGCCAUUGCACUCCAGCCUGGGUAACAAGAGCAAAACUCCGUCUCAAAAAAAACAAAAACAAAAAAAAGCUCACUGAAUUGUGAAAUAUAAACCCAAAACUUAUAAUGCACAGAUUUUCUGGAUUUUCAAACUUGCUGAGUACAAAAUGCUCUGUUAUCUCUUGGUUCCUGGGGACAGAGCAGGACAAGAGGCCACACAGUGCAGGACCCAGGACUGUGCCGGCCUGCACACCACCCCAAAGUCUCAGUGGUAUAUUUACCAAGCUCUCAUUACCUUUUUUAAAUUCUGGGCUUUCCCUGUGAACUUUUUGCACAGAAAGUAGAUACACAAUGGAUAAUUUUAUCCUGUUUAUACUGCUGUAUGUUUCUUUUUAGAAUGCCUUUUCUAUAUUUAAAUCUAAUCCUACUAUGGAGGAACUAUUAAUAGGAGAGCAGAAAGGAAGAACUCAGGAAAUGUUCUCCUUCUCUUUCUGAGAGCCCAGUUUUCCAGAUUCAAUGGUCUACCAAGCUCUAGUACCUUUUGUCAAAAACUUUCUCACAAUAGACAUAACUCAUGGUGAAGUAAGUAGAAUUUUGGUUAUUUCUAGGGUGGGGAGUAGCUUAAUGUUCAGCUGCACAUCUAUUGGGGAUUCUAUGAGCUUCCCCAGUAUCACUUACUAAAUUCCUUCCUGCUUAAAUGGCUAUGGUCUCUUAUUAAGGACUUGAUCCAGUACAAGAGGCAUGAAAUCAGUCUUUGAUGACUGAGGACUAACUUGCUUCUGAGUCAUCACUCUGGGUAAGAAUUUUCAUAAUGUAGAAAUGGCAUUAUUAGUAGCUAAUACUUAUUGAGCAAUCACCAUGUCCUACUCUGUGCUAAUUACUCCUACCUCACAGAGCAGGAUAGAGGUAGAGUCAGAAAUAGAACUCAAGACUUUUUUUGGGGGGGGGCAAAUAGUCCAUUAUUCUAAGUAAACAAAACUUGUGUUUUUGCUUAAAAAUUAAUUUUCUUGUACCCAUUUUCAGAAAACCAAAUUUCAUCUUCCAAUCUAUUCCAUUCUCUUUCCAAAGAAUAAUAUAGGUAUUUCUGUAAAUAGUGUUUACUAUCCUUCCAGUUUUAUAAUUUACCUUAGAGACCCCUUAAAAAUGAUUUUAGGCUGGGCCCAGUGGCUCACACCUGUAAUCCCAGUACUCUGAGAGGCCAAGGCAGACAGAUCACUUGAGGUCAGGAGUUUGAGAGCAGCCUGGCCAACAUGGUAAAACACCAUCUCUACUAAAAAUACAAAAUUUAGCCAGGUGUGGUGAUGGGUGCCUGUAAUCCCAGCUACUCAGGAGGCUGAGGCAGGAGAAUUGCUUGAACCCAGUAGGCAGAGGUUGCAGUGAGCCGAGAUCUUGCCACUGCAUUCCAGCCUGGGCAACAGAAUAAGACUUCAUCUCAAAAAAAGAAAAAAAAGAUUUUAGGAUGAAUAAUCUUCAAAAUCUAUUCCAUGUUAGUAAAGAUGCAGGCAUAUGGUUGCUGUUUUACCAUAAUAAUUGAGCACUGUAAAUUUUUUUUUAUUGCAUUUUAGGUUUUGGGGUACAUGUGCAGAACAUGCAAGACAUUUGCAUAGGUACACACAAGGCAGUGUGUUUUGCUGCCUUCCUCCCCUUCACCCACAUUUGGCAUUUCUCCCCAGGCUAUCCCUCCCCAGCUCCCCCCACCACUGUCCCUCCCCUCUUCUCCCCAAUAGACCGUAGUGUUUAGUACUCCCUUCCCUGUGUCCAUGUGUUCUCAUUUUUCAUCACCCACCUCUGAGUGAGAAUAUAGGGUAUUUCAUUUUCUGUUCUUGUGUCAGUUUGCUGAGAAUGAUGUUCUCAAGGUUCAUCCAUGUCCCUUCAAAUGACACGAACUCAUCAUUUUGGAUUGCUGCAUAUUAUUCCGUGGUGUAUAUGUGCCACAUUUUCCCAAUCCAGUCUAUCAUCGAUGGGCAUUUGGGUUGGUUCCAGGUCUUUGCUAUUGUAAACAGUGCUGCAAUGAACAUUCCUGUGCAUGUGUCCUUAUAGUAGAACCAUUUAUAGUCCUUUGGAUAUAUACCCAAUAAUGGGAUUGCUGGAUCAAAUGGAAUUUCUAUUUCUAAGGCCUUGAGGAAUCGCCACACUGUCUUCCACAAUGGUUGAACUAAUUUACACUCCCACCAACAAUGUAAAAGUGUUCCUAUUUCUCCACAUCCUCUCCAGCAUCUGUUGUCUCCAGAUUUUUUAAUGAUCGCCAUUCUAACUGGCGUGAGAUGGUAUCUCAAUGUGGUUUUGAUUUGCAUCUCUCUAAUGACCAAUGAUGAUGAGCAUUUUUUCAUAUGUUUGUUGGCCUCAUGUAUGUCUUCUUUUGUAAAGUGUCUGUUCAUAUCCUUUGCCCAUUUUUGAAUGGUCUUGUUUGUUUUUUUCCUGUAAAUCUGUUUGAGUUCUUUGUAAAUUCUGGUUAUCAGCCCUUUGUCAGAUGGGUAAACUGCAAAAAUUUUUUCCCAUUCUGUUGGCUGCCGAUUCACUCUAGUGACUGUUUCUUUUGCCGUGCAGAAGCUGUGGAGUUUCAUUAUGUUCCAUUUGUCUAUUUUGGCUUUUGUUGCCAAUGCUUUUUGUGUUUUGGUCAUGAAGUCCUUGCCUACUCCUAUGUCCUGAAUGGUUUUGCCUAGAUUUUCUUCUAGGGUUUUUAUGGUGCCAGGUCUUAUGUUUAAGUCUUUAAUCCAUCUGGAGUGUAAGGUGUCAGGAAGGGUUCCAGUUUCUGCUUUCUGCACAUGACUAGCUAGUUUUCCCAACACUAUUUAUUAAACAAGGAAUUAUUUCCCCAUGGCUUGUUUUUGUCAGGUUUAUCAAAGAUUGUAUGGUUGUAGAUAUGUUGUGUUGCCUCCGAUGCCUCUGUUUUGUUCCAUUGGUCUAUAUCUUUGUUUUGGUACCAGUACCAUGCUGUUUUGGUUACUGUAGCCUUGUAGUAUAGUUUGAAAUCCGGUAGUGUGAUGCCCCCCGCUGUGUUCUUUUUACUUAGAAUUGACGUGGCUAUGCGGGCUCUCUUUUGGUUCCAUAUGAAGUUCAUGGUGAUUUUUUCCAGUUCUGUGAAGAAAGUCAAUGGUAGCUUGAUGGGGAUAGCAUUGAUUCUGUAAAUUACUUUGGGCAGUAUAGCCAUUUUCACGAUAUUAAUUCUUCCUAACCAUGAACAUGGAAUGUUCUCCAUCUGUUUGUUUCCUCUCUUAUUUCAUUGAGCAGUGGUUUGUAGAUUUCCUUGAAGAGGUCCCUUAUGUUCCUCGUGAGUUGUAUUCCUAGGUAUUUAAUUCUUUUUGUAGCAAUUGUGAAUGGCAAUUCAUUCUUGAUUUGGCUUUCUUUAAGUCUGUUAUUGGUGUAUAGGAAUGCUUGUGAUUUUUGCACAUUGAUUUUAUAUCCUGAGACUUUGCUGAAGUUGCUUAUUAGUUUCAGGAGUUUUUGGGCUGAGGCAAUGGGGUCUUCUAGGUGUACUGUCAUGUCAUCUGCAAAGAGUGACAAUUUGGCUUCCACCUUUCCUAUUUGAAUACCCUUUCUUUUUCUUGCCUGAUUGCUCUGGCUAGAACUUCCUGUACUAUAUUGAAUAGGAGUAGUGAAAGAGGGCAUCCUUGUCUAGUGCCGGGUUUCAAAGGGAAUGCUUCCAGUUGAGCACUGUAAAUUUUUAUUCUUUGUUAGUUUGAGGGAGGGAAAAUGGUAUUUGUAUAUUAGUAUACGUUUAUCACUAGAAGGUCUGAAAAUUUUAAAUAUGCUUUUAGCCAUCUGAAUUUUCUCUUCUGUGACAUGCCUAUUCAAACCUUUUGCUGAUUUUCUAUGGGGCUCUGGAUGUUUUCCCUACAAAUUUGUUUGAGUUCUUGGGAUAGUAAGAAGAUCAAUCUUUUAUGAGUUAUAAUCAAAAAGAACAAUUUUCCCAGUUUGCCUUUCACUUUUUUGUUUAUAAUCUUUCUGAUUUCAUACAGAGGUUUGACAUUAUAUGUGGCCAGAUUAUUUAUAUUUUUGCUUUGUGAUUUCUUUAUUUUUAUAUUAGAAAGUCCUUAGUGACAUAAACACUAAAUUCAUGGCCAUAUACCUCCUAUUCUGGUGUUUUAUGUUUUCAUUUUCUGGAUUAACUGUUAUUGAGUUCUGUAAGGUCUGGGUUGAACUCACUCUUUGAUUUCUAGGGAAGACCAGAGCUCUGGGAAUCCUGAGCCCAGUUAGAAGCCAACAGACUCAGAACCAGAGUUGGGAGUAGAUCUUGGACAGAGGGUAGAAAAAGGACUUCCUGAGUCUCAUAUGUGGCUAUAUGGCUUACCAUUAGAUAAGAAUGAUUUCCUUGGUGAAAUUAAGGGUUGAUUUGAGUAAAUCUGAGUUUAUUAUGUUAUCUAUCAGUCCAUAACAUAUAAAAUUAUCUUGAAAUCUCAAUGGCUUGCAUAUGGCUGUAGACUACCCCUGUGAAAGAAUGGGCAGGGUUUGUGUAUCAUUAUAACCCAAAAGGUGGUUUUGCUUGGAGACUAGAAAUGAGAUGGUGGGAAAAGGAAGCAGCACAAGUGGGUGGGGUGAUAUUUUUUCUCCUCAUGAGAAUGAAGAUGGGUGGGUAUUGAGUGAAAAUGAAGGAAGCCUUUGAAAGGAAGAAAGAAAGGAGGAAUCGGGGCUUUUGGGUAUUCUAGAAUAGAAUUCUUACACACAUUUAAUAUUCUAGAAUAGAAUUCUUACACACAUUUAUUGAGUGAAGAUUCCAAAUCAAAGACUUUACUCUAAUUAAUAUUCCUUUUAUAGCAUAAAACAAACAAAACCAGAAAGGUUUGCAAAGUCCUUAAUCUCCUUACAGUUCUAAACAUUACUUUUUGUUUCCUGGUGGUUGACUGAUAUCGAUUUAUUAUUAAUGACAUCUCAUACAUUGUAAUCUACAUGUCAAUAUUUAAAAUUAACAUGAAGGAAAACAUAAACUCUGCAAGGCAGUUUAGUUGACAUAAGCACAAGUGUAGAUAUGCUGUCUCUGCUCAUAUGACACUUUCAAAGCAAUGAUUAAAAACCAGUGACAACUGAAAUCAAUUCUCUCAGGUGCCAAAGAAAAAAGAUACAUAUUGCAGGAUGUGUGAAUAUAUGUCCAGACAGUUUUCUAAAAAACAAUUUACUAUUGAUCUUGUUCAAAAUUAUCCCUGUCGAAUCCUUCCCAAAUCAUUUUAUGAGACUAACAUCAUUCUGAUACCAAAACCCGGCAGAGACUCAACAAGAAAAGAAAACUUCAGGCCAAUGUCCAUGAUGAACAUAGAUGCAAAAAUCUUCAAUAAAAUACUGGCAAGCCAAUUGCAACAGAACAUCAAAAAGCUUUUCCACCAUGAUCAAGUAGGAUUCAUCCCGGGGAUGCAAGGCUGGUUCAACAUACGCAAGUAUAUAAACGUAACUCACCACAUCAACAGAACCAAAAACAAAAACCACAUGAUUAUCUCAAUUGAUACAGAGAAGGCCUUUGACAAAAUUCAACAGCCCUUUAUGCUAACAACCCUCAAUAAACUCGGUAUCGAUGGAACAUAUCUCAGAAUAAUAAAAGCUGUUUACGACAAACCAACAGCCCAUACUGAAUGGGCAAAAACUGGAAGCAUUCCCUUUCAAAUCUGGCACUAGACAAGGAUGCCCUCUCUCACCAUUCCUAUUCGAUAUAGUACUGGACGUUCUGGCCAGAGCAAUCAGGCAAGAAAAAGAAAUAAAGGGUAUUCAAAUAGGAAAGGUGGAAGCCAAAUUGUCUCUAUUUGCAGACAACAUGAUAGUAUAUCUAGAAGACCCCAUCGUCUCAGCCCCAAAACUCCUGAAACUUUUAAGCAACUUCAGCAAAGUCUCAGGAUACAAAAUCAAUGUGCAAAAAUCACAAGCAUUCCUAUACACGAAUAACAGACUUAAAGAGAGCCAAAUCAAGAACAAACUGCCAUUCACAAUUGCCACAAAGAGAAUAAAAUACCUAGGAAUACAACUAACAAGGAAUGUACAGGACCUCUUCAAGGAGAACUACAAACCACUGCUCAACAAAAUAAGAGAGGACACAAACAGAUGGAGAAACAUUCCAUGUUCAUGGUUAGGAAGAAUCAAUAUCAAGAAAAUGGCUAUACUGCCCAAAGUAAUUUACGGAAUCAAUGCUAUCCCCAUCAAGCUACCAAUGACCUUCUUCACAGAACUAGAAAAAACUACCUUAAACAUAUGGAACCAAAACAGAGCCCACAUAGCCAAGUCAAUUCUAAGUAAAAAGAACACAGCAGGAGGCAUCACACUACUGGACUUCAAACUAUACUACAAGGCUACAGUAAUCAAAACAGCAUGGUACUGGUACCAAAACAGAGAUAUAGACCAAUGGAACAAAACAGAGGCAACGGAUGCAACACAACAUAUCUACGAUCAUAUAAUCUUUGAUAAACCUGACAAAAACAAGCCAUGGGGAAAGGACUCCUUGUUUAAUAAAUGGUGUUGGGAAAACUGGCUAGCCAGGUGCAGAAAGCAGAAA